AUGAUCUUUUUAAAGUCUCCUAUAUACUAAAAGUGGAACAAUACUGAGAGGAUUAGCAUGGCCCUGCCAUAAGGAUGAAUCCAAAUUUGUGAAGCAUUCCAUAUUUUU
rfam:Tupaia chinensis contig216165, whole genome shotgun sequence.